ensembl:snRNA U2 U2 spliceosomal RNA
AUCCCUUCUUGGCCUUUUGGCUAAGAUGAAGUGUAACAUCUGUUCUUAUCCAUUGUAUACUUAUAGCUGAUUCACGUGGUCAUACAGCAGACACCAAGACAACACUGUAAAGCAAUUUUACUCCAAUUAAAAAAUGUUUAGGAAAGUCAU